GUAUGGAUGUCAAUUUCUAGUAUGAGAAAUUAACGAUUUAAGUCCUUCUUAAAUGAGGCCAUUUACCCAAAGAGGGUGCCAGGCCCGUAUAACGUUAAUGAUUACUAGAUGGCAUUUCCAAAGAGUCGUGUUGCUUGAUAGUGCAGCACUAAGUGGGUGGUAAACUCCAUCUAAAACUAAAUAUAACCAUGAGACCGAUAGUAAACAAGUACCGUGAGGGAAAGUUGAAAAGAACUCUGAAUAGAGAGUUAAAUAGUACGUGAAACUGCUUAGAGGUUAAGCCCGAUGAACCUGAAUAUCCGUUAUGGAAAAUUCAUCAUUGCGAUUUAAAUAUUAACAAUAUUUAUAAUAAUGGUGUGCAUUUUUUCUAUAAAGGACAUUGUAAUCUAUUAACAUAAAAUUAUAUUUAUCAUAAGAUCAUUUGCGAAAGUUUAUUCAAAUUAUAGUGCUUGCAUUUUAACAUCGAAUAAAUGCUUUUGAUUUGGUAAAGUGUUGAUAGAUUUAUUAUAUAUAGUGCUUAAAUAAUCAAUAUUUUAUAAUAGCAUAUUAGUCGUUGAUUUUUAUGUUUAUUAUAUGCGCUUAUAUGAUUAACAAUGCGAAAGAUUCAGGAUACCUUCGGGACCCGUCUUGAAACACGGACCAAGGAGUCUAACAUAUUUGCAAGUUAUUGGGAAUAUAAAAACCUAAUAGCAAAAUUAACAUAACUCAUAUAUAUGGGAUUAGUUUUUAGUCUAUUUAUAGUCUACUAAUUCAAUCCCGGGGCGUUCCAUACAGUUAUGUAUAAUAAUAUU
rnacentral:rRNA from 1 species